AUUGAACGCUGGCGGAAUGCUUUACACAUGCAAGUCGAACGGCAGCACGGACUUCGGUCUGGUGGCGAGUGGCGAACGGGUGAGUAAUGUAUCGGAACGUGCCCAGUCGUGGGGGAUAACGUAGUGAAAAUUACGCUAAUACCGCAUACGAUCUAUGGAUGAAAGCGGGGGAUCGCAAGACCUCGCGCGAUUGGAGCGGCCGAUAUCAGAUUAGGUAGUUGGUGGGGUAAAGGCCCACGAAGCCAAAGAGCUGUAGCCGGUCUGAGAGGAAGACCAGCGACACUGGAACUGAGACACGGUCCAGACUGCUACGGGAGGCAGCAGUGGGGAAUUUUGGACAAUGGGCGAAAGCCUGAUCCAGCCAUUCCGCGUGCAGGAUGAAGGCCCUCGGGUUGUAAACUGCUUUUGUACAGAACGAAAAGGUUUCUACUAAUACUAGGAGCUCAUGACGGUACUGUAAGAAUAAGCACCGGCUAACUACGUGCCAGCCGCCGCGGUAA
rnacentral:rRNA from 1 species